UACGUAGGGCGCGAGCGUUAUCCGGAAUUAUUGGGCGUAAAGAGCUCGUAGGCGGUUUGUCGCGUCUGCUGUGAAAACUGGAGGCUCAACCUCCAGCCUGCAGUGGGUACGGGCAGACUCGAGUGCGGUAGGGGAGACUGGAAUUCCUGGUGUAGCGGUGAAAUGCGCAGAUAUCAGGAGGAACACCCGGUGGCGAAGGCGGCUCUCUGGGACGGUACUGACGCUGAGGCGCGAAAGCGUGGGGAGCAAACAGG
rnacentral:rRNA from 1 species